GACCAGAUGCAUUUGCGUCCGGUCCGGUCAAAACCGGACGACCGAACCCCAAUUAUGCCAGCCCUACUGUGCACACGGCGGCUCACAAUCA
ensembl:snoRNA C02C6.13 ncRNA